ACACCGGUCGCUCAGCCUGGUCGAGCAGCGCCAUCACCUGGCGUCAGUCGGAGGUUCGAGUCCUCCCCGGUGGA
rnacentral:tRNA from 1 species